AUGGGAUUUGGACUAAAAGUGAUUUUCAUUCUGACUAUUUUGCAAGGUGUCCAUUGUGAUAUUCAGCUCUUGGAGUCUGGGGGAGAUGUGAGACCGCCUGGAGGAUCCUUGAAACUCUCCUGCAAAGCUUCUGGAUUUACCUUCAAAGACUAUGGCAUGAGUUGGGUCCGCCAGGCUCCAGGGAAGGGGCUGGAGUGGGUCUCAUACAUUAGGUACGAUGGCACUACCACAAACUAUGCAGACUCUGUGAAAGGCCGAUUCACCAUCUCCAGAGACAAUGGCAACAGCCUGCUGCACCUGCAGAUGAAUUCCCUGAAAGCUGAGGACACAGCCACGUAUUACUGA